AGAGUUUGAUCCUGGCUCAGGAUGAACGCUAGCGGCAGGCCUAAUACAUGCAAGUCGAACGGUGUAGCAAUACAUAGUGGCGCACGGGUGCGUAACACGUAUGCAACCUACCUUAUACUUAGGGAUAGCCUUUGGAAACGGAGAUUAAUACCUGAUGGUACAGUUGACUUGGCAUCGAGUUACUGUUAAAGAUUUAUUGGUAUAAGAUGGGCAUGCGUCCAAUUAGUUAGUUGGUGAGGUAAUGGCUCACCAAGACGAUGAUUGGUAGGGGAACUGAGAGGUUAAUCCCCCACACUGGCACUGAGAUACGGGCCAGACUCCUACGGGAGGCAGCAGUAGGGAAUAUUGGGCAAUGGAGGCAACUCUGACCCAGCCAUGCCGCGUGCAGGAUGAAGGCGUUAUGCGUUGUAAACUGCUUUUAUAUAGGAAGAAAUAGACCUUGCGAGGUAAGUUGACGGUACUAUAUGAAUAAGCACCGGCUAACUCCGUGCCAGCAGCCGCGGUAAUACGGAGGGUGCAAGCGUUGUCCGGAUUUAUUGGGUUUAAAGGGUGCGUAGGCGGUUUAUUAAGUCAGUGGUGAAAGACGGUCGCUCAACGAUUGCAGUGCCAUUGAUACUGGUAG
rnacentral:rRNA from 1 species